CACGUGAGCACCUGCUUUGGUGGUGGGGAGUACGCCGGCUAACGCCCGGGUAAUACCGCAUACGGUCAGCUGGGGGAGUCCCCGGCUGAAGAAACCUCCGGGGCACAGAGAGGGGCUCGCGGCCUAUCAGCUAGUUGGUGAGGUAAUGGCUCACCAAGGCGACGACGGGUAGCUGGUCUGAGAGGAUGGCCAGCCACAUUGGGACUGAGAUACGGCCCAG
rnacentral:rRNA from 1 species